rnacentral:misc_RNA from 1 species
GUAAAUCCAGUUUAAGAUGUAAAAUGCACGGUAGGCCCCAAGAAAGAACACAUAUUGUCCAGUCAGAUUAUCAACAUUUCCACUUCUUUGCAAGAGCACCAAUUGGGGAAGAAUGGCAACUGCCUCUAGGUAUAUUGAGAAAGCCCAGAACACCUCUUGAAGGGUAAACUUCUCAUGAAGAACAAGUGCCAAAACAAAACACGCCCCCAGAAGAAUCCAAUAGCGAAAAGUGUCUAGCUCACGGUCAUAUGAGCGCCUAACAACUCGAUGGUACCUCAUACACCAGACAAUGGCCAAGGAGCU